UUUCUCCGCCGGCGACCGCGCACGGGUGAGUAACACGUAUGCAACCUGCCCCUGUCAGGGGGACAACCCGCCGAAAGGCGGGCUAAACCCGCGUACAUGCCACCGGGGCAUCCCGGAGGCAGGAAAGGCUUCGGCCGGACAGGGAUGGGCAUGCGGCGCAUUAGGCAGUAGGCGGGGUAACGGCCCACCUAACCGACGAUGCGUAGGGGUUCUGAGAGGAAGGUCCCCCACACUGGUACUGAGACACGGACCAGACUCCUACGGAAGGCAGCAG
rnacentral:rRNA from 1 species